GACGUAGGGCGCGAGCGUUGUCCGGAUUUAUUGGGCGUAAAGAGCUCGUAGGCGGCUUGUCGCGUCGUCCGUGAAAACCUGCAGCUCAACUGCAGGCUUGCGGUCGAUACGGGCAGGCUAGAGUUCGGUAGGGGAGACUGGAAUUCCUGGUGUAGCGGUGAAAUGCGCAGAUAUCAGGAGGAACACCGGUGGCGAAAGGCGGUUUCUCUGGGCCUUACCUGACGCUGAGGAGCGAAAGCGUGGGAGCGAACAGG
rnacentral:rRNA from 1 species